AGACCAUCAAAAUCAAGGCAAAAGAAGCAACCAAGAAGGUUCCUCUAAAAUUGAAGAACGAAGGCUCUAAAAUUAUUGCAAAGGAUAAAAAAUACAAUAUUAAAGAUAGAUUGACAAGUACUAAAUCUGAUGGAAAACCACAUGCAAGAGAAGCGGCUGAAUUGGAUGAAAGAAAUAAAAUUUUUAAUGGUAUCGGCGGUCAUGCCUUUGACCUGAAUGAAGACCAAAAGGAUUUAAUAAUACCAAAACUCACACCUGAUUUUGAAAGAUUGAUUUGGCCUGAUGACCCAGAGUCUAUAUCUAAACCAUUACCGACCAUACCACCAAAGAGGCCGGUUACGACGAGCUUUCCGAUGUUGUCUAUGGAAUCCACAAACUACAGCAGAGGUU